AGCCGGUUUGUCAACACCAUUCUCUCAGCCAACCUGUGGUGAGGUCGGGUAGAGGUCCCAAGGCCUAAGGUGGGGCCUUAAGGAUUAUAAAGGCAUCCAAGAUCUGCUUUGGGUAGUGAUUCUUUCGACCGAUAUGGAGCUCGUGAAGGCCGAGCACCCUAGGUUCUAUAUCUAAGACUCUUACGACUCGAUCCUCCAUGUAAGUUAGU
rnacentral:lncRNA from 1 species